GCCUUCAUAGCUCAGCGGUAGAGCGCGACACUAGUAGCCCCUAUCUACUGGAAUGUCGAGGUCUUGAGUUCGACUCUCAAUGGAGGCA
rfam:Cladophialophora immunda strain CBS 83496 unplaced genomic scaffold supercont1.6, whole genome shotgun sequence.